CUCUGCAAUCUCAUGUUCUUUCUCUUUGAUCUCCUCGUGCUUAUGGUGAAGUUUUGCUUCAGCCUCAUGAAUCUUCUCCUCAACCUCAUCGUGCUCGUGGUGGAUCUUCUCUUUGAGCUCAUGUUCUUUCUCAUGAACCUUCUCCUCAACCUCCUCAUGUUUGUGGUGGAUCUUCUCCUUAACUUCAUGUUCUUUGUCGUGAAUCUUUUCCUUUAAACUCUCUUUAGGUUCUUCACAAGUCUCGGCUUUGUCAUGGUGGUGGUGAAAUUUCUCUUUGAUCUUCUCGACAAAGCUCUUCUUCUUUUCUGGUUCAACAACUAGUAGCACACUUUCCUCACAUGUUUCGGUUGG
rnacentral:lncRNA from 1 species